ensembl:lncRNA
GAGCUGUUUUACUGCAGAAAGUUAAAAGGACGCAGACUGACUGACAAAAAUGUUUCUUCUCUAAAUAUGAACUCUGGAGUUCCAGGAAAACUGCCUCAGUUCUUCCCUCAGAUUAUUCCCUCUUUUCUUCAGUAGAUUUCACACAAACUCUAGAAUGAAGACAAGAGAAUUGGGAUAUUUUUAUUGUCAAAUGACCAGAAACAACUUUUCUCUGGAGAACAAAGAAAUGAAGACACAAAUCUUCAAUCAGAAGUUGUCAAAUGGAGCAAAAAGUCAGCAAACAAAGUUGUAAAUGUUCUUUCUCCAAGAACAGGUGAAUCUGGUGAUUCUUGUUUCUGUGGAGAACAAACACACAGAAAGUCUUUGAUUGUGACAUCACUGAUUCUAUUUGUGUUGCAGCUUCCUCCAGGUCACAUGACAACAACACAAAAACAUGAACACAACAUUUGUGUGAAAUCUCAACUCAAACAGUCAAAUCCAAAGGUUCAAAGAAACGACAAGAAAACAAAUUUUACUCCAAAAAGUUUGAGAUUCAUCUUCAAAAAAUGUCUCAAAUCCACAUUCUAGAGAUGUUUCAUUUCUCUCUUUAUUUCUGACGACAAACACGACUCCAGAGAAUAUUAACAUUUAAAAUGUUUAGUUCAAAAUGACUGAAAGCAGAGAAAUCACUGAAAACAAACUUUUCACCUUUUUUCAUAAACUUCAGGAACUAUUUGAGUUUACAGAACUCUGCUGAGUCUCCCAACCACACUCCAGCAUGCAGCGUCUGAGUGAAUGUGGUCUGGACUCUGUGGAGAAGAGUCAUGCUUUCAGAGACGCUGUAGAAGGACAGAACACCUGCUCUGUGAUCCAGGUACACUCCUACUCUGGAGGAAACAGGAGCUGAGAUGGAAGUUUUUAUGUUGUUGUGGUAAAAUGAGAAACUGUCUGGAGAACAAAUUAAUGCCCAAGAUUUAUCAUUAAAACCAAAUCUACUUUCUGUUCCAGAUCUACUGAUGUUCUUGUAUGAGACUGCAACCCAAACAUAUUUUCCUCUCCACUCCACCUCCCAGUAACAACGUCCAGUCAGACUCUCUCUACUCAGAACCUGAACAUAAUCAGUAAAUCUAUCUGGAUGAUCAGAAUCAAACUGAGGUUUUUUCAUACGUGUCACCUUUCUGUUCUCCUCUGACAGUAACAGAUGUUUGUAUGCUGUGUUUGGAUCCAGUGUGAUCUGACAUGAAUAUCUGAAGAAGUCAGCUCUGCUCUUUGGUUCUGACAGUAAAACAUCCACAUGAGUGACUGUCAGUGAGAUGUUUGUCCAUUCCUCUCUCAGAAAGUCCUGCAGUUUGUCUCUGAGCUCUGACACAGCUGCUGUCACAUCCUCAAAGUAUCUGAGAGGACGGACGUUGAUGCUGGAUGAGUGUGUGGACUCACUGAGUGGUGGCAGUGAGACGUAGUUGAGCAGAAACUGGCUGGGAUCCUCUGUGAGUGAGAGCUGCUUCAGCUCAGCGUCUCUCCUCUUCAGCUCAGUGAUCUCCUGCUCCAGCUCCUCCUGAACAUCUUUGACUCCACUCACUUCAGUUUGCUGCUGGGAUCUGAUCUGCUGCUUCACAUCACAGCUUCUCUGCUGGAUGAGACGGAUCAUCUGAGUGAAGAUCUUCUCACUGUCCUUCACUGCUUGAUCAGCAGAGUGAUUGAUGGCCUCCACCUCCUGUUGAAGCAGCUUCACCUCCUUCUCUCUGUCCUGGAUUCUCUGCUGGAUUUCUUCUUGACUCUCCUCCAGAUCUCUCUGCCUCUCAGUCCUUUCU